GGGGUUUGAAAAGCCAGAACGACAGUGCCCUCUGCUGGAGUCUAAGAAUGGCAUCCCCGCUGUUUCUAACAGGCAGCUGCGAGAGACCAGGAGACCUAGGAGACUGGAGCAGAGGACAUUCCAGCCAGGGUUUAUCCUGGCAAGUGUGUCUUGAGAAGUGGACAAAGAUAUUCCAGUCAUAGCAAAGCUGAGGAGCCCGUUAAGAGUGUGGUUGAUUUGAGCAUGAACAGGAUGAAGAACUAGCGUCGGUGGACAGAAAAGGGUCAAACCACUUGAGUGAAUGUUUUAACAAGGUGAAAUCAGCCAGAAAGAGAGUGGAGCCAGAGAAUCAUUCUGAAGACAAGCAUGGAUUACAAAUUAGAGUCUUGUAAGACCACUUGGGUUGUGGAACUAAGGGUGAGUAUAGUCAGGAACUGUGGGUUCCUUGAAUUUAUGAAUGUAGAAAUUGAGAUUAGAAAGACUGGGGUAAAAACAGGGUGGAUAUGGGCUUGCUAGGAGCCAAAUAGAAUCCUGUCUUUUAUUCAUCAUCUCCCUGCUCUCCUUGUGAAUUUCCCAAACCAGUUCCUCAUUCCUAGUGAAUGGAAUUUUUCAGGUGGAAGUCUGAAUUACAUGGUUGAAAUCAAACUUGGCAAAUGGUAGCCAAGCUGCCUGAAUGUCUUUAGGGAAAAGGUAAUAGGAUCAGAAAUAUUGUUCUAAGGUUCUUUUUGUUAUGAGGUCAUGGAUGAUGGGCAGAGUGAAAAGGUAUUUCAGGUGUGCACAAUAAAAUGGCAUGUCAAGAAGGAAAUGAGUUAGAGGCUUCUGGCUGGGAUCCAUGAAAGCAGUUUGUGAUCAAAGAGGGAGGUGGAGGUGCUUUGCUAUAGUUUUGGCCUUGCACUGCUUCUAGAAUUUGAAAUUUGCUCCUAUGGAGGUGAAGCUCUAGUCUCAGCUCUACACAUGGCUGGCUUGUUCUCAUUCUUCAGUGUUGCUCAAAUAUUACCUCCUUUAUUAUUUUUUCAAAAGUGGGCCUUCACAAGUUACACUUCAUCAUGGUCAUUUGCAAACUCAUUUCCCUGUAACAGUCAGGCAGAUAAUGUUUAUGAGUUAAGCAAACUGAGUAAAAAACCCGUCCCAUCUAAAGAGGCAGCUGCUGCUUUGCUCUGGCUGUUUGUGGUCAUGUGGGAAUUUUGGGCCAGUAUUGCCUGUUCUAAUUUUUGAAGAGAAAUCAGAAAUGUGGGUUUUACAUAAUAUCUCCUGAUUUUUAAAUGUUGGUCCAAAUUAAAAAAAAAAAAAACAAAAAACACCCUGCAGGCUGAGUCUGGCCCUCUGGCCAGCAAUUUAUAAUUUCUGAUUUGUUAUUUUGCCUCUUAUUUCCUUCCCAGCACUUGUUAUAAUCUGUGACUAUCUUGUUUAUUUACUUAUUUUCUGUUAGUUACUGUUGUAUUUCCAGUGCCUAACACAGUGCCUGGCACAAUCAGUUCCCCAAAAAUAAACAUCUGAUGUUAGAUGAAAGAGGGAGCCUGGACUGAUGUCUUACUUAGGAGCUUUUCAUAUAUUUUGAUUAUGUAUGUGAAUUAUAGAUAUGAAUAUGUGUUUAAAUAUGCACAUAUGUAUAUAUGACAAAUAUUUUCUCUCAGUAUCUUGCCUUUUAACUUUAUUAUGUCUUCUGAUACAUAAUUUACAAUUUUUUACUUAGUGAAAAUUGUCAGUCUUCUAUUAGGCUUCUGGGCUUUAUGUUCUAUGGGGAGUUUUUCAA